rnacentral:rRNA from 1 species
AUUGAACGCUGGCGGCAGGCCUAACACAUGCAAGUCGAACGAGUGGCGGACGGGUGAGUAAUGUCUGGGAAACUGCCUGAUGGAGGGGGAUAACUACUGGAAACGGUAUCUAAUACCGCAUACCAUCAGAUGUGCCCAGAUGGGAUUAGCUGGUGGUGGGGGGAACGGCUCACCAAGGCGACGAUCCCUAGCUGGUCUGAGAGGAGGAUCAGCCACACUGGAACUGGGACACGGUCCAGACUCCUCCGGGGGGCAGCAGGGGGGAAUAUUGCACAAUGGGCGAAAGCCUGAUGCAGCAAUGCGGCGUGUAUGAAGCAGGCCUUCGGGUUGUAAAGUACUUUCAGCGGGGAGGCGUUACCCGCAGAAGAAGCACCGGCUAACUCCGUGCCAGCAGCCGCGGUAAUUC